AUACCAUGGUGUGGACAUUUUCUUAAUAUUGCUUUUAAUCGUUCCCAUACUUGGUAUUCAGAUUCAGAAUCUGUUUGCAUAAAAUUAUUGAUUUCUUGCUUCAUUUU
rnacentral:snoRNA from 1 species